rnacentral:tRNA from 1 species
GCCGGGGUGGCGGAACUGGUAGACGCGCCGGAUUCAAAAUCCGGUUCCUUCACGGGAGUGUGGGUUCGAUUCCCACCCUCGGCA